rnacentral:rRNA from 1 species
UACGUAGGGUGCAAGCGUUGUCCGGAAUUAUUGGGCGUAAAGAGCUCGUAGGCGGCUUGUCGCGUCGACUGUGAAAUCCCGCGGCUCAACUGCGGGUCUGCAGUCGAUACGGGCAGGCUAGAGUUCGGUAGGGGAGACUGGAAUUCCUGGUGUAGCGGUGAAAUGCGCAGAUAUCAGGAGGAACACCGGUGGCGAAGGCGGGUCUCUGGGCCGAUGACUGACGCUGAGACGCGAAAGCGUGGGGAGCGAACAGG